GGAGUUGUGGCUCAGUGGUAGAGUGCUCACCUAGCACAUGUGAGGCACUGAGUUCGGUCCUCAACGCCA
rnacentral:tRNA from 1 species